GUUUCCUCCUGCAGCAGUGUCAUCGCCUCGCAGCAGUCAUUGGUCUGAACUGGCAGGUUCUGCUCUUGUUUCUGGACCUCUGGAGAAGGGUCCUGAACUCUGGAUAUGGAUUAUCCAAUGGUACCCACCUUCCCUUGCAGUCCAGGAAUGAAUGUGUGACAGG